rnacentral:rRNA from 1 species
CACCAGCGCCACGAGUGGCGUUCACGAUUAUUGGGCCUAAAGCGUCCGUAGUCUGGCAAGUGCAUCUUCUGUGAAAUCGCUGCGCUCAACGUAGCGGCAUGCGGAAGACACGACUUGUCUUGAGACCGGGAGGCGUCGAGAGUAUUCCGGGGGGACCGGUAAAAUGGUAUAAUCCCCGGAGGACUACCUGUGGCGAAGGCGCUCGACGAGAACGGAUCUGACGAUGAGGGACGAAAGCCAGGGGAGCAAACCGG